AUUGAACGCUGGCGGCAUGCCUAACACAUGCAAGUCGAGCGGAUGAAGGGAGCUUGCUCCUGGAUUCAGCGGCGGACGGGUGAGUAAGUCCUAGGAAUCUGCCUGGCAUUGGAGGAUAACGUCCGGAAACGGGCGCUAAUACCGCAUACGUCCUGAUGGAGAAAGUGGGGGAUCUUCGGACCUCACGCUAUCAGAUGAGCCUAGGUCGGAUUAGCUAGUUGGUGUGGUAAAGGCUUACCAAGGCGACGAUCCGUAACUGGUCUGAGAGGAUGAUCAGUCACACUGGAACUGAGACACGGUCCAGACUCCUACGGGAGGCAGCAGUGGGGAAUAUUGGACAAUGGGCGAAAGCCUGAUCCAGCAAUGCCGCGUGUGUGAAGAAGGUCUUCGGAUUGUAAAGCACUUUAAGUUGGGAGGAAGGGAAGUAAGUUAAUACCUUGCUGUUUUGACGUUACCAACAGAAUAAGCACCGGCUAACUUCGUG
rnacentral:rRNA from 1 species